CUCUCUCUCUGCUCUCCCGCUGUCUUGCUGCUGUGUAUUCUCUGCCUCUCUCUAUUCUCUGUCGCUUGUUAUUCCCAUUGCUCGCUCCUGCUCUCCCACUUCCCUAGUCCUGGCCGCGUCUCAUCUGUUUCUCCUCUCCACUCUGGAGUCUUCCAGAUGCCUCUGGAUAUUUUCUGUCUUUUAUCCACAAAAAAACCUUCCUCCUAAUGGAGUUGUCGUGUCAGCAAUUUCUCUACUGCGUGCCCUUGCAUACAUACCCUGGUCCUCACACUUGAGUGACAAGCAUUUUACCCAUCUGACCAUCUCCCCAGGCCUCUGUCUCUGUACUUUUGCUUGCUGUCCAUUGCUUUGAAAUCCUGGGAAAAUAUUUCUAAACUAAAGAUUCCCAGAAGCACAUCACUUCAAGAUUACAUCUAAAAGGCAGGGUCUCUCCCUGAACCUGGAGUUUACCAAGUCAGCAAGAUUGGCUGGGCAGCAAACCUCAGGGAUCCACCUGUCUCAGCUCCCAAUUGCCGAGGUUUCAGGCACAUGCCACUGUGCCCAGCUUUUUAUUUGGGUACUGGGGACCUGAGUUCAGGUCCUCAUGCUUGCAUGACUCUGCUAACGGAAUCAUCUCCCAACCCAUCUUCAUUUUCUUGUGACAAAACGGCCUGAGAUGUGAACAGGAAGGAGACCCAACCGACUUCAGAGAAGGCUUCCAAGUGCAAGACUGAGCUGUGCCUGAGUGAGAUGUGGUGGUCAGAUCCCAGCCUCACCCAGCUGUUCCAACCUCAGGUCAGUAUUUUUGGGGAUUGUGUGGGGAUUUUCACUCUGAAGAUAGGAUACUAAUAUCACUUGUAUACAGGGUUAUGAUUUAUGUGCUUUUCUAUGUUUUCUAUUAUGCUACCAUAAAAGAGGGCAAUAUUUUAAAUGCUAGGACAGUAAAGAUAGGAC